UGUGAACUCCUAGGAUCUGCAUCUUU
rnacentral:misc_RNA from 1 species